rnacentral:lncRNA from 1 species
GCUGGUUGAUGAUUUGAUUCUUCUUGGGCUACAAGCUGGUGGGAAUGAAAAUGGUUUAGAAUCUAUGGAUAAUGCUGACUAGAGGUAAAUUUUUUGUUUUCAACCUUUUUGUUGCCCUUCGGAACCUUAGUUGUUUGCAUUUUUUCUUGCUUUCUAUAGAACGAAAUGAAGGAUGAAGAAUUUGUGGUUUUUUCUAGGCCUUGCACUUUAUUAAGUAUCAGCUUCAAUAUUGGAAUGCAGAAGUGGAGUGGUACAAAAUAUUAACAGAUACCAUACAGGUAAUUUUGUUUUCAUCUAAAUAUUAUAUAUAUUUAUGUCGUCGCUUCAAAUGUAUCUUUGGUUCGUGAGCAUUUCCGCGCUUCGAGUGUACAAGCAACAUGGAUUAGGAUUAGUAUGUGUUCUUCCUUGUCUCAUUUGUUUUACCUUCGUGUCGCGCACAUCUUCUCUUAUAGUCUAUAUAUUUUAAUUGAAAAUACUAUUGCCGAAAAGGAAUUCAAAUGAUCCUACUUUUCGAAGAAUAGUCAUUACUUAUAAAAAUAAAUCCAAAAAUGAGCAUGAGUCCAGUGCCGUGCACUUCCUAUAGGAGCUACCGAGUUCUUUUAUAUUCUCUUGACUGUAUUUUUUAUAUUCAUUGAUAUUUUAUUUUCUUUUUGCUCGGUAUAUAGCAUAUAUUUCUUGUCUUCUGAACUUUUCAAAUUCUUCUUGGUUGUAGAUGGAUGAGCGCUAGGGCUUAGUUGAUAGAUGUGCUCAACAGAGUGAUAUAAACCCUCAAGGAAUUGGUAUGUUAUGAGCCCUUUUAUUUUUCUGCAUAUGAUUGAGAUAUUUAUGUGUGUUUAUAGACUUUCUUUGACGUAUUUAAAUGAAUUGAUCUCUGAUAGUCUGAUAUUAAUAUUCUACGGAGUAGUGGCCGUUAAAUGAGCCAAUAUUAAUUUGUUGUGAGGAAAUCAUGCAGGUUGAGAAAUCCCAUAAGGAAUGGCCAGAAUUAUAGAUCUUCUUGGAAAUGCAUAGACAGGAGCAUUUGAUAACAGGUAAUUUACUGGGACAACAACUAUUUACCCCUUACUCUGAUCAGCUUAUCACCUCCACCAUUAAAAAUAUUCUUCUAGGAUUUUAAAUGCCAUUUCUUAUAAGGUUCCAACAGUUGAAGACUUUUACUUUUUCUUUGAAGAAAUUUUAAGGCUGAUAAGUGUUUCAAAGACUCCAGGUUUUCCCUUUUAUUGCAUUCUAGUCUUGAGGGUUCUUGUGGGUUUCAAAUUUGAUGUCCUGUACAAUUGGCAAGUCUUGCUUCUCUAUCCAUAUAUAUUUUGGGUGACUUGUUUUAUAUCAUCAUUUAAAAGUUCUGAUUUCAUAUCAGUAUAUGCUGCUCAAAGAAGGAAUUUUGUUUCUG